CUUUUCUUCCUCCUUCGUCUUUUCCUCCGGGCGCCAAGCUCCCGAGAGCUGCCGCCAUGGACAUCACCGAGCCGCCGCCUCCAGCCGAACGACGACGGACCGACCACGUCACGAGCUCCGACCCUUCUUCCUCUACGUCCAUGCCCAAGGAAUUGCACCGGGAACCUCUACGUCGAGCUCUACUUCGUCUUAUUCCUCUACGGACGCCGGCGCUUCCUCGCCAAAUUCCCGCGAUACGAGGCUUCCUCGACUCCGAUCUGCUAGACCUUCUUCUUCUACACUCCGGUUCGUACGACGACGACUACGCUUGUGUUCUUCUUCCAGGAUUCUUGCUCAAUUCCGGGCAAUUGAGUACUCCAGUCAAGCAGCCCUUCCUUGACCAUGUUGAUUAUACGUAUUGCUUCUCCCUCAAAUCUUGCAUUAAGUUACGAUCUCAGUCUUGUCAUGAUGCCUCUAGGUUGCAUAGCUUGUUAGUCAGCUCUACUUGAUGCCCCAUGUCUUGUUACUUGUCCUAUUACCAUGUCACAUGUUUGUUGUUGCCCUACAUUUUGGUCAUUAGAUGUCAUGCUUAGUUGCGA